rnacentral:circRNA from 1 species
GGUUUGCUGAACUAACUCCAAGCUGGUGUGCCUAGCGUCCGCGCGGCUGCCGGCCCAAGAGCUGGAGUCACCAUGGCGGCCGGAGUUGCGGCCUGGCUGCCUUUUGCCCGGGCUGCGGCCAUCGGGUGGAUGCCGGUGGCCAACUGCCCCAUGCCCCUGGCCCCGGCCGACAAGAACAAGCGGCAGGAUGAGCUGAUUGUCCUCAACGUGAGUGGGCGGAGGUUCCAGACCUGGAGGACCACGCUGGAGCGCUACCCGGACACCCUGCUGGGCAGCACGGAGAAGGAGUUCUUCUUCAACGAGGACACCAAGGAGUACUUCUUCGACCGGGACCCCGAGGUGUUCCGCUGCGUGCUCAACUUCUACCGCACGGGGAAGCUGCACUACCCGCGCUACGAGUGCAUCUCUGCCUACGACGACGAGCUGGCCUUCUACGGCAUCCUCCCGGAGAUCAUCGGGGACUGCUGCUACGAGGAGUACAAGGACCGCAAGAGGGAGAACGCCGAGCGGCUCAUGGACGACAACGACUCGGAGAACAACCAGGAGUCCAUGCCCUCGCUCAGCUUCCGCCAGACCAUGUGGCGGGCCUUCGAGAACCCCCACACCAGCACGCUGGCCCUGGUCUUCUACUACGUGACUGGCUUCUUCAUCGCUGUCUCGGUCAUCACCAACGUGGUGGAGACGGUGCCGUGCGGCACGGUCCCGGGCAGCAAGGAGCUGCCGUGCGGGGAGCGCUACUCGGUGGCCUUCUUCUGCCUGGACACGGCGUGCGUCAUGAUCUUCACCGUGGAGUACCUCCUGCGGCUCUUCGCGGCUCCCAGCCGCUACCGCUUCAUCCGCAGCGUCAUGAGCAUCAUCGACGUGGUGGCCAUCAUGCCCUACUACAUCGGUCUGGUCAUGACCAACAACGAGGACGUGUCCGGCGCCUUCGUCACGCUCCGGGUCUUCCGCGUCUUCAGGAUCUUCAAGUUUUCCCGCCACUCCCAGGGCCUGCGGAUCCUGGGCUACACACUGAAGAGCUGUGCCUCCGAACUGGGCUUUCUUCUCUUCUCCCUCACCAUGGCCAUCAUCAUCUUUGCCACUGUGAUGUUUUAUGCCGAGAAGGGCUCCUCGGCCAGCAAGUUCACAAGCAUCCCUGCCUCGUUUUGGUACACCAUUGUCACCAUGACCACACUGGG